GUACUUUUAAGCUUAAAGCACUUCAUUUACACUGAACAGAUGAUUUUUAUAAUUUAAAAC
rnacentral:tRNA from 1 species